CCCAGUUUCUCCCUGGUUUGCGUAAACAUUUUGUAGUACUUGAUUUAGAUGACCAUAUAUAUGAUCAUCAUUUACUUCUCCAGGACCAGGCCUUUUGAGAGCUGUAUACGUCGACUGUUCAUCGUCUACUUGUUCGUAAUUACUGACAGGAGUAUCAUAAAUGUGUCUUGAAUUAGUUUCGUCAUUAGUGGUUUCCACAUUUGCUUCAGUGUUUGAUGAUUU
rnacentral:lncRNA from 1 species